GACAGAGGUCUCGAGCGUUAGGCGGAAUCACUGGGCUUAAAGCGUGUGUAGGCGGAUGUCUAAGUACCUUGUGAAAUCCCACAGCUUAACUGUGGAAUUGCUUGGUAUACUGGAUGUCUUGAGCCAGCUAGGGGCAACCGGAACAAAUGGUGGAGCGGUGAAAUGCGUAGAUAUCGCUUGGAACGCCGGCGGUGAAAACGGACAGCUGGGGGUUUGCCGACGCUGAGACACGAAAGCCAGGGGAGCGAACGGG
rnacentral:rRNA from 1 species